CAAGAUUUCUCUUUAAUGUUUUCAAACUCACACAUUUUAUCUUAUAUUGACCCAAAAUAAAACCCAAAAAAAGAAAGAAAGAAAUCAUCUUCAGACUUUAAAUUUGCAGAGAGUACAGAGAUGAUGAUGGUACAUUAGUUUACUGUGCAAUUGAUAUAUCUACAUUUCGGUGGAUAUAAUCUCCAGCUCCGCCCACCACGCCGGAGACCGACUAGGCAACGCUGCUUCCGGCGUUAUUCCGGUGAUCUCUCUCAGCUUAACCACCACUUCCUUCAUUUCCACCUUCUGACUCAAACACUCUUUAACCACUUCCCACACUCUCUCCAUGACCUCCUCUUGAAAGCUUUUCAGAGUCGGGUCUGCAACGGGUUUGGUUUCUUCCUGGAGCAGAGAAUCUGGAUCCGGGAUCUUUCCGGUGAUGAUCUCUUGUAGAAGGGCGCCAAAGCUGGAUACGUUGGUCAUGGGGUCAAGUGGUGUGGAGCUGAGGAACGUAAAGUCUGAGACUUUGGCUGCGUAAUCUGUUGCCAAGUAGACUGAAGAAGAGUUGAGGUUGGUGUGAGAGAUGGGUUUAGGGUUUAGAUUGUGCAUAUGUUCCAUACAGUAAGCUAUUCCCAUUACGAUUCUCAGUCUCAUUGGCCAGUCCAAAUGCUCUGCGUCUUGGUCUGCAACAUAAUAUUACAGUUACAAGUUUAAAAAAUAGAUGGGAGGGACUGAGUCUGUUGGAAGAAGUGGCAUUACUACUACUCACCGUGCAGAUGCUCGAAGAGGGAUCCAUUAGGAGCGUAUUCGAAAACUAGCAUUCGGUUGAAUGGUUCGUCUUCAUGGCAAUAUCCGAUUACAUUGAGGAAGUUCUUGUGGUUCACUUGAGAUAACCUCUGUAUCUGCAUUGCAUGAUUUGUAUGUGUUUUAAAGAAGAGGAGAAAGAAUGCAGAAAGAGGUUUCUGAUGUUACCUUUUCUUGGAACUGUGUUUCGUGAUCCUCUGACCAGUCUUGGAGGGAUCCAGAUGCAACUGCUAGAACGGCAAUUUCAGAGCCGGUGGAGAGAGUUCCUUUGUAAAUGGUGGCGUCUGAGGAUGUGGAGCCUAUGAUGUUACUGAAAUCUUCACAGGCAGUUUCUAGUUCUGCUAGCUUCAGCUUGGGAACACCUUCAUAAGUCAUAAUAAAUACACUAAACUCACUUUCACCAAUCUCUGCUAUGUUAUUGAACUAGAGAGUAAACAUAACAGUGAUGAUACCUGUAGUAACAACAUCUUGAAGCUGGCCACUGCUCCCAGUUUCCCCCCAUGGCUUUAUCAAUUUUACCUUUUGGUUCCAGAGAAAAAAGAAGGCCACCAAUGCGGCCAUGACGCCUAAUACACCUACUAGCACUCCGACUAUUAUGUACAUCUUACUCUUAUGAGAUUUCUUUUUGUUGACAGCAUGAGGCACUUCAGAAAGCUGAGGUGGUGGAGUCUGAGCUGGUGGAGGCUGAGCUGGUGGAGGGGGAACUGGAGACGGGUUUGGGAUAACUUGGGUUUCAGUAGGAGGGCUUGCACCUAUAUUCUGCGGAGGAGGGGCAAAGAAGAAAGGAAAAUCAAUGGGGACUUCCUCCAUAGGCGAUGGAGGAGAAGGUUGAGAAGGAGGGGGAGAUAUCUGAAGCAGCCUGCGAGCGAAGGGAAAUGGUUGGCCAAAGUUGUUGUCACACAAAUCCAAGAUCUCAAGCUCCUGCAAUUCUGUUACCUCUUCAGGUACUUUCCCGGAAAAUGAAUUGUUUCUGAGAAUACUGCAACAAGAACAAGGGGUGUUGUAGAGGUCUAUCUAUCUAGUGUAUAGUUUGAGGAGUGUUGGGGAAAACGUUGGUUACUUACAGAGAUUUCAAAUGAGUUAGGUUUCCUAGUUCAGGUGCAAGUGUUCCUUGUAGGGAGAGAUCUCUUAGAUUUCUACAUUAUAAGACAUCAAAUUUAUAACAAAACUGAAAUUUUAGAGAAACUUCUUAUUCUUAUGUUAAGGACUCGGAUAUGACUUACAAGAUGACAACUCUUCCAUCAUGUGAA
rnacentral:lncRNA from 1 species